AUUCCACUAAAAUAGUGAUAGGUACAAUAUAGGUUAGUUAUUAUGGAACAUAUUGGGAGUUGACUUCAAGCAACCACGAGUUGGAGUGACAAACAAUUGCACCACUUGUCAAAGGUCCUCAGUUCAGAUCCAGUAAAGCAAGUUGCGAAAUGAAGUUUGGAACACCCCUUCAGAUCGCUCUUUUCAUUCUUGGGUUAACCUGUGCUUUCCAGCCAAAUGCGGGUGAUAAUUACAUAUAUCCCAUCACAGAGAAGGACAACUUGGAACUAGCACCUGCUAUGUGUAAAGCCCUGGAUGAAAAAAAUGUCUUCGAGACGUAUUUCACGAGUAAUAUAUAUGAAGAAUGUAAACCUUCAUCAAUUGGAGCAGACAGCUAUAAUGGAUUCACAAAAUUUUUGAUGRAAACUUCGCUGGAAGGACAACUGAGAAACUCUAAGUGGGAGAUGCUUUACGCAAUAGGCUGUUGCUACCAUAGAGAAUGAUAAUAGUGAAUAUCAAUCAGCUGAUAAUGAAUAAUGAAUAAAAGAGCAGUUUGCUGAUACAGCAAACCAUAUGUAUAAGAAUUUUUAGUUAAUAUUUUGUUAAUGUUAAUUUGUCGCACAGACAACAAAGCUUUGCCGUGUUCA